rnacentral:rRNA from 1 species
GCUUCAAUUGCCGGCGACCGGCGCACGGGUGAGUAACGCGUAUCCAACCUUCCGUACACUCAGGGAUAGCCUUUCGAAAGAAAGAUUAAUACCUGAUGGUAUGAUGAGAUUGCAUGAUAGCAUCAUUAAAGAUUUAUCGGUGUACGAUGGGGAUGCGUUCCAUUAGGUAGUAGGCGGGGUAACGGCCCACCUAGCCAACGAUGGAUAGGGGUUCUGAGAGGAAGGUCCCCCACAUUGGAACUGAGACACGGUCCAAACUCCUACGGGAGGCAGCAGUGAGGAAUAUUGGUCAAUGGACGAGAGUCUGAACCAGCCAAGUAGCGUGAAGGAUGAAGGUCCUACGGAUUGUAAACUUCUUUUAUAAGGGAAUAAACCCUCCCACGUGUGGGAGCUUGUAUGUACCUUAUGAAUAAGCAUCGGCUAACUCCGUGCCAGCAGCCGCGGUAAUACGGAGGAUGCGAGCGUUAUCCGGAUUUAUUGGGUUUAAAGGGAGCGCAGACGGGUCGUUAAGUCAGCUGUGAAAGUUUGGGGCUCAACCUUAAAAUUGCAGUUGAUACUGGCGUCCUUGGGUGCGGUUGAGGUGUGCGGAAUUCGUGGUGUAGCGGUGAAAUGCUUAGAUAUCACGAAGAACUCCGAUUGCGAAGGCAGCACACUAAUCCGUAACUGACGUUCAUGCUCGAAAGUGUGGGUAUCAAACAGGAUUAGAUACCCUGGUAGUCCACACGGUAAACGAUGGA